rnacentral:rRNA from 1 species
UACAGAGGGUGCAAGCGUUGUUCGGAAUUAUUGGGCGUAAAGGGUGCGUAGGUGGCGUCGUAAGUGGGGUGUGAAAUCCCGGGGCUUAACCCCGGGACUGCAUUCCAUACUGCGGCGCUUGAGGACUGGAGAGGAGACUGGAAUUUACGGUGUAGCAGUGAAAUGCGUAGAGAUCGUAAGGAAGACCAGUGGCGAAGGCGGGUCUCUGGACAGUUCCUGACACUGAGGCACGAAGGCCAGGGGAGCAAACGGG